rnacentral:lncRNA from 1 species
UCGUGAAAGUGUCACAUUUAGAUUGUUCUUAUUAAAGGAAAGAGCCGAAUAGACAAAGGGUUUACAUGACCGCUCGCUUUGGACAAGAUGCCAUAGUAUAAGAAGAAGGCCUUUGUUUGCAAAGAUGACUUUCCCGCUUUCCUUUGUGAGGGAGGUUUGUGCACAUGAAUUAAUAUUCAAAGCAUAAGGAAGAUGGCAUAGAGCAUAGAAUGAGAUUGAUGCUUCGAACGCCCAGUUUUCAGGGGUUGUGAUAAAAAGAGUUGUGGCUCUUUCGGAAGGGGGAAUCAUACUAGGCUGUCACUGUUCUAGAAGAGGAAGCGUAGCUGGCACGUUGAACCAUGUCUGUCAAUGGUGAAAGAUAGCCCUAAAGUGAGGGCCCCGGAGAUAGUAUUUCUCAUUUGUCGAUCGACGUGACAAUCAUGCCUGCUUGACAAAGCCUUUUUCAUUCAGUCUCCCAAUAAACAUAGAAGGAUUUCUGGUUACACGAAUGCUGUGCUCGACGCUCUCUUUCCUAUUCCACUGCGCUAAGUGGUCUUUCCCUUUCUUGCUAGAUGACUACUAUGGAAAAAGAUGACAACUACUCCCAGUCUCUGGUCAACCCAUGCUGAUGCUAGAAGAGCUAUUCCCGCCGCCCACCCGAAAGAGAUGAGGAAGACUAACCACCAUCCUGCUCGAACCUUGGCUGCCUGAGUUAUAUAGCUGACUGCGAGAAGGAAGGUUCAAGCUAUGGCUGCCCCAUGGGAUGCUCGUUUUAAACCUUUGUCCGAUCAAUGCGAGAAAGAGAGAAGUGAUGUAAACAUAAGAAUGGAAGGUUUGCUUGUCAGUUGUCGGGCCAAUGAGGCUCUUCUAUCUUUGCAUACACAGCAAGGGAAAGAUCAAAGGCGAGGUGGGAAAUGCCCCGCACGGACUAUCUGAUCAUGUUUCUAUCAGAGGCAGCUGGCAAAGCCGUGUUUGAUCAUCGCGUACAUGCUCUGUUACAGCUUCGUUCAUGCGCCAAUCAAUUGACAGUGAAGCAGAGAAGGAAGAGUUUUGAAUUAAUUAAGAUAUAGGGAAAGGCCAAGGCCGUUACAGCUUCGUUCAUGCGCCAAUCAAUUGACAGUGAAGCAGAGAAGGAAGAGUUUUGAUCACCGUGUGGGUAGUCUCUAUUAGGGUUUCCUUUCUUUCGGGGCCAUUUCCUUCGCCCUUUCUUCUUAGUCUGAGGCAUCUCCCUCUCGUCCUAUUGUGGUAAGUUAACCGUAUAGUCUUGGAAGUUAGGGUUUUGCAAUCAUUCCAAUACCUCUAGUCUUGAAAGUUUCAUUAAUCCAUUUUGCUAUCAUUCUAGUUGUUAGUGAAGUGACUGCCUGAUGUUCGAUCCUGUAACUCGCACCGCAGCCAAUGAAUGUCCUGAAUUCGGACAAAGGGAGUAAGGUAAUUCAUCAUCAACCAAGGCAGGAAUCGUCAGAGUAUUGUAUUGCCCUCCAAUAGGACUAUACAGAGCAGUGGAAGGUCAGAAUCUAGUGAAUCUAUCUUUAGAGUGUAGCCCCGCAUCUUACCCAUCAUGUAAUGACAGUGUGCCUUCACCUCAUGAUCUUAGAGCUCCGAUUGCGCCUUCUGUAUCUGUAACUGUAAGUGUAUAUGUAUACACUAAUUUAUAUGUGGGCUCCACUUCGGGAAGACGAGUUGACUCCACAAAGCAGAAAAUUAUUGCCUCGGAUAUUCCAUUAACGGUUACCUAGCCCAGGAAAGGAAAAGAAAGGGCAAUCUGCUAGAGGCACCUUACUAUUCCUUGCCGCAACGUAUCCCAGGUUGGCUACCUUUCCCUUGCGAAAUCCUAGGAGACUCUUGCUUGUAGGCGUAAGGAAGAUUUCUGAUUCACCGCUUGGACCUAAAAACAAUCUACUAAAGGUCUUCCGAUUCUGCUGCGGGUAUUUUAUUUUCUUGGAUCUUAUCGAUCUAUGCCCUUUUGGUCUAUGGGGUAUCCCCCUUUUCCGCUUUUCUUUCUUUCAUCUUCCUAAUUCCUCAGGUAAGCUUCAUGCCAGUCUGACUAAGGUAAGGGGGGAAGACCUCAUUUCGUCAUUCAUAUCUAUUCGUCUUAGCCCUGCUUCGGCGAUUCAAUCCGACAUUUCAUACCUUUCCCUUGCGAAAUCCUAGGAGACUCUUGCUUGUAGGUGUAAGGAAGAUUUCUGAAGCACUACUUGGACCUAAAAACAAUCUACUAAAGGUCUUCUGAUUCUGCUGCAGGUAUUUUAUUUUCUUGGAUCUUAUCGAUCAAUGCCCUUUUGGUCUAUGGGGUAUCCCCCUUUUCCAUUUUUCUUUCUUUCAUCUUCCUAAUUCCUCAGGUAAGCUUCAUGCCAGUCUGACUAAGGUAAGGGGGGAAGACCUCAUUUCGUCAUUCAUAUCUAUUCGUCUUAGCCCUCCUUCGGCGAUUCAAUCUGACAUUUCAUUUCCCCCUUCAUCAUUUGAUUUUUCGCAUCUAAGAACUGAUCUUGCAAAAGGAGUACAAUGUGAUAACAAGUGAUUUGUGAUCAAUAAAAAGUACCACCGGAUUCUGUACCCUUCAGUCUUGGAUCCUCACCUUGGACAGUUUCAUUUGGUUAUGAAAGAAAGGCUUUAUCCCUAGCGUUAAGGUCUCUAUCAAGCACUCUUCUAAAGCUGUCUUCAAGCCCUCAUAUUCAACUCGCUGCCUCAUCCACAUAGCAUGAACUCGCUCGAAGUGCUUUCUCCUACUAUGGUGGAGUUUACCAAGAACUCUAAACGUUCGGAGCGCCGGUUCUGUUUCAGAAGAAGCAUGAUGGCAGUUUAAGGUUUUGCAUCGAUUAUAGAGCGCUGAACAAAGUGACCAUCAAGAACAAGUACCUUAUGCCUCUUAUUGCAGACCUGCCGGUUCUAUUUAAGAAGAAGCAUGAUGGCAGUUUAAGGUUUUGCAUCGAUUAUAUCGCGCUGAACAAAGUGACCAUCAAGAACAAGUACCUUAUGCCUCUUAUUGCAGACCUUUUUGAUCACUUGAGUGGAGCAUGAUACUUCACGAAGUUUGAUUUGCGGUUGAGGUAUUAUCAAGUGCGUAUUGCCGAGGGUGAACAUAUUUCUUUUCUCUUGUGUUGGCUCUGCAAGUUCCUGCUGUGCAUCCCUGCCUCCGAGUGCCAUUCCUAGAUUCCUUGAGCUCUUCCCAAGAUCGGAAAGUACUUCCACUAUUCCCAUUAGUCAUCUAAACAUCCUAUUGUGACAGCCCACCAUACCAGCCAAUUUUGUUGGAGCACCUUCCGAAGUCCGCCCUCAGGUGUGUGUUCACAUUCGGUAUUGUCCCCAAUAUCUUCAUGGCUCCCCCAUGUGCGGCCACCACACAACCCACAAUGCCAAGGCCCACGAUGGAUCUGUCAGCUUUUAUAUUCCAAACCCCCACUUACCAAGCUGAGCCUCCUCCAUACCCCACCUAACUUUAUCCUCAACCACCAUAUGAUCUUACACCAUUACAAGAUAAAACUCCCAAAGUUCCUGAACAAGAUGAUAUGGCAAUAGUAUACAGACCUGUAUGGGAUUUAAAACAACAAAGUUCAAAAAGUAUGAUGGUCAUGGCGAUCACAUUGCUCACCUAAAGAAGUAUUGCAACCAAUUACGCGGAGCGGGUGAAAAGAAGAGUUGUUGAUGACGUACAUCAGAGAAAGCUUAGUGGGCAUUUCUUUAGGGUGGUAUAUGGACCAAGAUGUCUUACGAUGGCACAUUUGGGGCGAUCUUGCCAGAGAUUUUGUGAGGCAAUUUCAAUACAACAAUUACCUCGCACCCGACAGGAAAUCUUUGGCAAAUUUGAAGAAGUAACCUUCAGAGAGUUUCAGAGAAUCAAGGGUGAAGCCGUCCAUGGAUGAAAUAGAAAUGGUCACUGUUUUCCUCCGGGUCCAGGAAGUGGAUUACUUUCAAAACAUGAUGUCGGCCAUGGGCAAGCCGUUUGCAUAAGCAAUCAAGAUUGGCAAAAUGGUAGGAAACUGUUUAAAAACAGGACAACUUUUGAGUUAGUCGGCCAUCACAGCAACUUCCCAGGCCAUCCAAGGUGGGGCGGGAGGAGUCACAAGGAACAAAAAGAAAGAAGAAACCUCAAUGGCAGAAUCAUGCAUGAGAAGGCAUCAUGCUCCUAGGCCCAUGUUCUUCGGAAGAACCCCUCAACUCUAUUAUCCUCUCGAAGACAUGUCUUAUACUCCCUAGCCUUAUGCGGUUAUGAACGCUCAACCAUUUGCACGAUCGCAGUAGUAGGACAACAGGAACCAGGCUCCGAGAAAUUAGCCUCCCCAAAACCACUAUAAUCCCCGCCUUCCUCAAAACAACUUCCGUCCCAGGGAGUCAACUACCAAGAAGGGAAAACUUUACGCCAAUCGGGGAGUCCUAUUCUAGCCUGUUCCCAAAACUUGUCCAGUUGGGUUUGUUGCAGCCGAUACCCUCCAAUAGACAAAACCGCGAAUCGCCUUCCUACCAAUGGGUGCUCGGGGUGCUUAUCAUUCAGGGGCUGAAGGACAUGCCACAAAAAGUUGUUAGACUCUGAAGCGAGCUAUGGAAGAUCUAAUAGAGCAAAGGAAAAUAAUGUUGAGGGAUGAAGAUGUUUCGAAUGUGACUACCAACUCGUUGCCGGCCCACAACAAUGGACCAGUAAUCGGGAUGAUCUGUGAGGAAAAAGAAUUCGACCUGCCUUUGAAAGCCAUAAUCGCCAUUACCGACGCGGAUAAAAAGCCAAGAGCCGCCUCCCAGAAAUCUGAAGAGGAAAAGAAGAAUAAAACUAUGCAUCCUGAAACUGAUAAGAAGGUUUAGGUUAAAACAGAGGCGACACUUGUCAAAGAAACUGUCCUUUAUGUCCCACGGGGUCGUCGGGAAAAGCAGUUGACCUUGAUUCCUUCUAAGAGAUUUGAGUUGAACAGGACUAUGUACGUACCCAAUGGAACCUACAUGGUGCGGGGGCCAACUAAUCUGCCAACGCUGAGUGAUCCUGUGGUGGUUGGUCGCACACCUCACAUGCAUAUGACAGACCCUUCUACAGUCCCUUGGAACUAUUAGGAAAUGGUAGUGACAUAUAAAGGCAAAGAAAUCUCUGGAGAAACUCAUGAAAACUACCCUGUGAAGAAAUAGUCUUACUUGGAGGAAGUGGACAGUGCCACCAAGAAGCGAUUCCGACCCAAGAAGUCAGUAAGCGCCAAUGAGGUGGAAGUUUUCUUUCAAAAGAUGAAAAUGCCAAACUAUGAAGUAGUGGACCAGCUUCGGAAUUCCCCUGAACAAGUCUCCUUACUAUCCUUGCUGAUGGAAUCUCCUGAGCACCAGAAGGUAUUAGACAAAACUCUCAAUGAGGCAUAUGUGCCAACUCAAACCUCUGUAGAACAAUUGGAGAGGAUGGCUGAAAGAUUCUUCGCCGUCAAUCAGAUCACAUUUAGUAAAAAUGACUUGCCUCCAGAAGGAGCUGCCCACAAUAAAGCCCUGCAUAUAACUGUCAAAUGCGAAGGCUACUAUGUCAAAAGGGUAAUGGUAGACAGAGGCUCUAGGGUGGACAUAGGCCCACUCUCAACAUUACAGAGAAUGGAAAUCAUGACGGAGAGGAUUCGCCCCAAUAAUGUAUGUGUUCGAGCUUUCGAUGGAAUCAAAAGAGACACAAUUGGAGAGAUUUAUUUGGUCUUGACAAUUGGCCCAGUUUAUUUUGAGGUAACCUUUCAUGUGUUAGACAUGGACACAUCGUAUAAUUACCUCCUGGGAAGGCCAUGGAUUCACCUAGCAGGAGUCGUGCCUUCUACUCUGCACCAGAUGUUUAAAUUUGGACAUGAGAACCAAGAAAUCGUGGUCCAUGGUGAAGAUGAACAGUCAAUUUAUAGUCAUCCCUCCGUCCCCUGCCACGAAGCUAAAGAAGGUAGUGCGAAUAUCGUCUAUCAGGCUUUUGAAAUUCUGGUGGCUGAUCAGCAUGAAGAUGGCCAACCCUUUCCCCAACCUUUCCUCUCCAAUGCCUCAAUCAUGGUGGCGAGAGAGAUGAUAUGACAAGGAUUCAAACCGGGGAAGGGACUCGACAGGUAUUUACAAGGGAUAGCUGAGCCGAUUGCGUUGCCCACUACAGAGAUGUUUUUUGGGCUAGGCUUCCACCCAACACCAGAGGAUAUAACAUGGACGAACUAUAGAAAGCAUGAUGGAUGGGCUUUACCUCAACACCUUCCGCACUUGUAUGAAACAUUUGUGAUGCCAAAUUACAGUGAGGAAGAAGAAGAUGAGACCUGGACAACUGAAGAAAUCGAGGAAAUAUGUAGGGCCAUGAGAAAACUAUUUGUAUGAAACCCACAUGGUCCUGUUGGGAGAAGGCUCGAGCAUUGCUGAGGUGCUAUACAUCGGAUCAGACGCCAAAUUGCAAAAUUGGAAGGCUACGCCAUUUUCAAUCAAGAGGGAGGCCGGUAGUCCCGUCUUGCCAUCUUCUCAACUUUACGAGUUAUCUUAGGGUGUAACUCGGAUGUUUUCCAUUAGUGUUUUGUCCUUUUAAUUUUUCAAGUGUAAACCCUAUACUCUUACAAUUCCAAAGAAAUGAAAUCAAUAUUUCUUCGUCUAUAUUCCUUUAUUCUUUCUCAUUUUGUUUUUUCCUUUUAUUCAUUUCUUUUAGUUCUAAUAAUGCGGCUUUAAAUAACAUGACAUGCUCGCGGACUUCAUGCCCCGACCCAAACAUGCCGCCUAAUUGUGAAAUAACGAACCAAGAAUCAGAGUACGACGAAGAAGAGGCUUUUAGGGAAUUCAAUCGAGAACUGGAACAUUUCAAAAAUAAUCCUAAGCCAAAUCUAAACAAUACCAAACCGAUUAACUUGGGAGGUCCCGGUGAAACCAGGGAUACUAAAAUAGGUGUCCAUGAAAAUGAGAAAAUCGGGGACGCACUGAUCUAACUCUUGUUUGAAUUUAAUGAUGUGUUUGAUUGGUCAUACAAUGAUAUGCCAGGGCUGAGUGUUGAUUUGGUGGUUCAUAAGUUUCCUACCUACGCUGAAUGCCCUCCAGUCCAACAAAACAAGAGAAUGUUCAAGCAUGAUAUCCGUGAUAAGAUCAAAGAAGAGAUGACAAAACAGUUAGGACGGGAGUAAUCCGAGUGGUCCGGUACACCAUAUGGCUGGCCAAUAUAGUCCCGGUAUCAAAGAAAGACGGGAAAACUCGAGUGUGUUUGGAUUACAGAGGUAUGAACAAGGCAAGUCCCAAAGAUAACUCCCUUAACCCAAUAUCCACAUCCUUGUUGAUAACUGUGCCAAACACGAGAUACAAUCUUUCAUGGACUGCUACGCGGGAUAUCACUAGGUGUUGAUGGAUGAGAAAGAUGCCGAGAAAACAACCUUUACCACACCUUGGGGUACUUAUUGCUACAAGGUUAUGCGUUUCGGUUUAAAGAAUACCGGGGCAGCAUAUAUGAGGGAUAUGACCACUUUCUUCAGCGACAUGAUGCAUCAGGAGAUAGAAGUAUAUGUGGACGACGUGAUUAUCAAGUCAAAGACUCAAGGUGAUCAUGUGUGGAACCUAAGAACGUUUUUUGAAAAGCUGCACAAGUAAAAUGCUCAUUUGGAGUCCCAACGGGCAAACUUUUGGGGUUCACAGUCAGCAGGAGGGGUAUUGAGCUAGAUCAAACAAAUAUAAAAUCCAUUCGAGAUCUACCUCCUCCAAUCAAGAAGGAUAUAAUGAGCUUGCUGGGGAGACUAAAUUACAUUAGCCGACUUAUUGCCCAGUUGACAUCUACAUGCGAGCCCAUAUUCAAGUUACUAAAAAAGGAUGCAACAAUCAAGUGGACGGGUGAGUGUCAAGAGGCUUUUGAUAAAAUUAAAGAUUAUCUGCCUAAUCCACCAGUGUUGGUCCCCCUGCAACCAGAAGACCAUUAUUUCUAUAUUUGACAGUCCUGGAAAACUCUUUUGGUUGCAUUCUCAUACAUCAUGAUGUCACUGGAAAGAAGGAACAGGUCAUCUAUUACUUGAGCAAGAAGUUUACCAGUUACGAGGCAAAAUACACCCUGUUAGAAAGAACCUACUGUGCCUUAACUUGGGUGGCUCAGAAACUGAGGCAUUACCUGCAAGCCCACACCGCCUACCUUAAAAUCAGGCUGGAUCCUUUAAAGUACAUAUUCUAAAAACCGAUGCCUACAGGGAGAUUGGCGAAAUGGAAAAUCCUGCUCACCGAGUUCGACAUAAUCUAUGUCACUUGCACAUCAAUGAAGGCCCAAGCGAUAGCAGAUCAUUUAGCCAAGAACUUGGUUGAUGAUGAAUACCAACCCUUGAAUACUUGUUUCACAAACGAAGAGGUGAAUUCGGUGGAGGUAACGGCUGAGGACAUCAUUGCUUGGAAAAUAUUCUUCGAUGGAGCUGUAAAUGCAAAAGGUGUAGGAAUAGGGGCGAUCUUAAUUUCCCCCACUGGUCAACACUACCCGGCCACGACUCGGCUUUUAUUUUUCUGCACAAACAACACAACCGAGUAGUGAGCUUGGAUAAUGGGCAUGAAUAUGGUUAUCGACCAAGACGUUGAGGAACUAUUGAUCAUGGGGGAUUCAGAUCUAAUUAUCCGACAAGCCCAAGGGGAGUGGGUAACUUGAGAUGUCAAACUCAUCCCUUAUCAGCAACAUGUGGAAGAUCUCAGCAUACGGUUCAAGUCGGUACAGUUCAGGUACAUUCCCCUCUAUCACAAUGAGCUAGCCGACGCACUCACUGCUUUGUCCUCACUGUUGCCUUUUCUAGGAAAUGCCUACAUCGAUCCCUUGGAAAUCAAAAUCAGGGAAAGCAAUGGGUACUGUAAUGCAACCGAGGCAAAAUCCAGCACUCAGCCAUGGUAUUAUGAUAUCAAGAGAUUUCUGAAAAUACAAGAAUAUCCUGAGUAAGCCACUAGAGAUCAAAAGAUAACCAUUAGACGACAUGCGAGUGGUUUCUUCCUUAGCGGUCAUAUCUUGUAUAAAAGAACCCCCGAUCUUAACUUGCUAAGAUGUGUUGAUGCCAAGGAAGCCGAAAAAUUAUGCAUGAAGUACACGCGGGAGUGUGUGUGCCCCAUAUGAACGAGUAUGUGUUGGCAAAGAAAUACUUUGACCAGGGUACUACUAAAUAACCAUGGAGAAGGACUAAUUCAGCUUCGUCCGGAAAUGUCAUCAAUGUCAGGUGCACGGUGACUUGAUUCAUGCACCACCAACUGAAUUGCAUCCCAUGUCAGCACCUUGGCCAUUCGUCGCCUGGGGCAUGGACGUCAUUGGACCAAUCGAGCCAAAAGCCUCAAAUAGAUGUUUCGAAUGUGACUACCAACUCGUUGCCGGCCCACAACAAUGGACCAGUAAUCGGGAUGAUCUGUGAGGAAAAAGAAUUCGACCUGCCUUUGAAAGCCAUAAUCGCCAUUACCGACGCGGAUAAAAAGCCAAGAGCCGCCUCCCAGAAAUCUGAAGAGGAAAAGAAGAAUAUAAACUCAUUUGCCGCUUCGGUAUUCCUGCAACCAUCAUCACAGACAACGCGGACAACCUGAAAAGGAGUUUGAUGGGAGAAAUAUGUGAACAAUUCAAGAUAACACAUAGAAACUCCACUCCUUACCGGCCCAAAGCCAAUGGUGCCGUCUAAGCAGCUAAUAAGAACAUAUAGAAGAUUCUGAGAAAAAUGAUUCAAAGCUCAAGACAAUGGCAUGAAAAGCUGCCUUUUACAGUACUUGGAUAUCGCACCACGGUGUGCACAUCGGUAGGAGCAACCCCAUACUUAUUGGUCUAUGGAACUGAAGUUGUUAUACCCGCUGAGGUAGAAAUUCCUUCGCUACGGAUAAUCAUCGAAACAAAAAUUGAGGAUAGUGAGUGGGUCAAGACUCAGCUGGAGCAGUUGUCAUUAAUUGAUGAAAAAUGAAUGGUCGCGGUUUGUCACGGGCAGUUGUACCCACAAAGAAUGGCGCGCUUACAACAAAAAGGUGCACCCCAAAAACUUUGAUGUUGGACAACUUGUAUUGAGGUGCAUUCUCCCUUACCAUCAAGAAGCUAAAGGGAAAUUUGCUUCCAACUGGAAGGGCCUAUAUGUUAUUAGAAAAAUACUACCUAAAGGAGCAUUAUAUAUAGGUGACUUCGAAGGAGAAGAUCCCGAUGCAGCAGUGAAUGGAGAUGCAGUAAAAAGAUACUACGUCUAGACUCCCUAGAACAAUGACUCAGUCCGGUUGAAAUGACGAAGGCUUUUCUUUCCUACUAGCCCAAACACUAUCAAUCCUUCGCAAACCCUUUGAGCCAGUUAUGUUUCUUUGAUCACCCUCUUUGGAACCCGAAAGUACUAUUCAAAUAAAAAGAAGAGAAAAAAAAGAAGAAGAAAACAAAAAGAAAAAUGAAACAAAAUGAAAAAAGAGAAAAAAAAGAAAACAACAAACAAAUUAUUAAAAAAAAAAUACAAAGAAAAAAAGAAAAGAAAAAGAGAAAAAAUGAUGAAAAAUAAAAUAGGAAAAACUACAAAGCAAAAUAAAAUCAGCUUAGGAAACACUUCUUGAUCUACGUCUGAGUUCAUUCCAAAAGGAUACGUAGGCGGUCUCUCCCUGAGGUUCAGUCACACCAACACAAAAAUCCCAAUUCACUAAAAAUUGAAAUCUUGGGCUGAUGAUGUAAUGGUUCACCCAUGAACCCGCCAUAAUGGUUCCAAAGUUGUAGUUCCCUCCAGAUUUCUUUUAUCCAAAACAUGGCCCAAGUCCUUCUGAUCGAUUGGCAGAUGCAGGUGAGCGACAAGUGUCAUUGUUGGGAUUUACACAAUUCCAUAAGAGAAAUAAACUGAGAGAAAUUUAAAAUGAGAGAGUCCGCUUACUGAAUACUCUUAAAGAGCACUAUCGAGCAUCAACAGUGAAAUCACAGCUCAUGGUAGUCCCAACUACCAAAAUAGUCCAGAACUACACUGACCUGAUUCCUUUGCAGCGAAGGAUAUGUAGGCCACCUCUGAAAUAGGGUUCGGUAAAGGAGUUUUAAAAAAUGCCUCACAUGGAAUGUCAAGCAGGCAAAAAUCUCUCAAUUGCUCAUUAUCUAUGUCCGAAAACCCUUCGUGUCUCCAAGAAAAGAGGGGCAGCUACGAGCAUGUGAUUUUUGCCUCGCUCGAAAUAUUCCUAUAGAAUUCUUAAAAUUAAGAAUCAAUUUUUAUAUUUUUCUUGGUUAAUUAUUAUAGCUAAAAUAAAGAAAUAAUUAAAGUGUCAAGUAUUUUUUAACAUUUGUUUAUUUUUCUUUUUAAAUUGGGAUUUAGGUCAUUUUAGAAAUGAAUUAGUUUUGUUUGUAGAAUUCAAAUUUGGUCUUGUCUAUUUUUAUUUGUUAAAAUCUGGAUUUAAAAACAAAGACAGAAAUAAUUAAAAAAAAGAGAGAGGAAAAGAAAGAGGAUUAAAUUUGGGCACCUUUCAACCCAAUUACCAGUCCAAAUUAAAGCCCCCCGGUCCAAGCCCAAACACCCCACACCUUGUCCAGCCUUAUAACACCCGAAACGACGUCAUCUAGCAUCGAGAUAAGCUCGUCGGUUCACUCCUUAUCAUUGAACGACCCAGAUUCGUCCUCGGUUUUAAUAAAACUGUAUGAAUAUAUCUCAAACCCUAGAGACCGUGUCAUCCUCCUCGUAGUUAUUCUCCACCAUCCUCUACCUCACCGCUGCUGGUCAAAAAUCGCCGCCGUCGCCGCCGGCCGGCCUCCAAACUCACCAAAAAAUACACCGAUGAACCUCCUCUCUUACCUCAUACCGAAUCCCACCUUAUUUCCUUCAACUCCCUCUCCAACUCCUCAAAUGUCCAAAAUCAGUGCCAACAUCUCCGUCGUGACCGGCGGUGAUCAAUCAAAAAGCUCCCAAAUUAACACCCCGGGUUCCCCUUUGCCUCCUCUACUAAAAUUUGAACCCCACUUCCCUCAAAUCUCCCUUGAACCUGUCGAACAGGCUAAUAUAUGUCCAUUGUCUCUGCCGCCGUCCACGGCGGUGUUUCAUCCAACCACACCCAAAAUAACACCUUUGACCCUCCUCACCUCCCUCUUCCAGAAUCCCUGAUUAGUUUCCUUCGAACAUCACCGAAGGUUCUCGAAUUUUAAGUCAAAGACCGACAGAACCCUAGAAGGUUCAUAACUGGAGAGCUUUCCUCGAGUUUUGAAGCAAAGCUCAAAUCCUAUUCCAAGCCCCGCAUAGAUAAGUUCUUCUCUUAUUCUAUUUCGUUUAAAUUUUUGUUUUUAAAUAAAAAAGGAGCUUCAAUCUAGACUCCUAAAUAUCAGUUCAAUCAUGCGUUGUUUUAGGGCCACUAAUUUUGUUUAUAUUUUCAUUUUGAUUUCUUUUCGAUUAAUUUAGUUAGAUAGGAUAGCACUUCUGCCUGUGUAUGGAUUUUUGUUCUUAAACCAAUUUUCCUUUAUACACAUUAGUUUUCUGAUUAUGUUUGAUCUUGUUCAUCUUAGUGUUUCAUUUCUUUUAGGAUUGUUUUAGGGUUUGUUUUGUUUUAUUUCUCUUUUGAUGAUGAUCAUUCCUUAAUUUAUUUUGAUAAGUAGUUUGCAAUCCGAAAAUUAGUAGUUAGUUAGUGUUAAGACUUGUGUUGGAAUAUGUUAGCUGAUUAAUGUUCAGAAUUAUCAGAUUAACCACAGCAAAUUAGAGAGGCAAGAAUAAUUAAUAUAAGUUGGUAAUUGUAAGAAAAAUUCAAGGGUAAUUUUGGUAGUUCAGCAGGGAAUCUUUGGUAACUGAUUUAGGAAGCUUCUAUUGGGGGUUCUUAUUGAAUCAUAAAUUAUGAUAGGGAAAACUUGAGUAACAAGUCAGGAUCUAAAGGACUAAUUGAGUAAAGUCUUAAAAUAAGAGAGGAACCAAGAGAAAAAAUUCUCCGAUAUAAUAAAGAAAGUAAGAAGGGUUCCAAACCAUUGAAACAUAAAGCACAAAAGACUGUAACGACGUGGCAGAAAUGAUCACCGUCAAGCACAAGAUUCAAAGAUGGAAUCUUCCUACUCUUGUUAGUUGGGACAGAGCAUCCUAUUUUGUUGAUCCUCCUUUCCCACCGCCUCGAGCUCUUGCUUUUUGGGUGGAUACGCAAGAAAUUCACUAUGAAGAUUGAUAUGACACAACCCCUGAAGAAUAUGAUGUGCCCGGCCUUUCUUCUCUUGAUCCCCACCCACCUCCCGUAGAGGCGGGUCAAUAUCAAUAUCUAUACCAGAGAUUGCUUUUAGCUUUAUCUUUUCAGAGACAGGAGAAUUCCUUCUGUACUUACAAGAAAUCAAUAUCUAUACCAGAGAUUGCUUUUAGCUUUAUCUUUUCAGAGAUAGGAGAAUUCCUUUUGUACUUAAUGCUACUUAGGGAGAAGAAUCUCUUGACUCAUGAGCACCUGAAUCUAUUCUUUCGGCGUCCCACAUCCGCCUAUGUUAAAGCAUCCGCCCAUUCUUCAGUGAAAGGAAAUGCUACUCAGGGAUCAAAAAAGAAAGCUGGUGCCCCGUCAGAAAGACUUGGUUCGUAGAGUAGAGGCAAUUCCCCAAGAUAUUGGUUUUAAGCUCCUCUCCUUACAGUCAAGUGGCUUUCCGCUCCUGCGGGUGACUUUUUGUCUUACGACACGGCAUGGUAAUUGAUCGAGUGCGCUUUCCUUUCUCCUACUCCCACUUCGGGAAGGGAAGUGCUAAAGGGCGGGCAUGCUCGACUGAAAGGAGAGGAAAGCUUCUUCACUUUCGGCACGUUGGUAAUUGAUCGAGUGCGCUUUCCUUUUAUCUACUCCCAUUUCGAGAAGGGAAGUGCUAAAGGGCGAGCAUGCUCGACUGACAGGAGAGGAAAGCUUCUUCACUUUCGCCACGGGCGCGGACUCCGCGAUCUCUGGGUCGCCGAGGUUCCUUUUCUUCCGCCUCUUAAGAUCCGCUAUCUCUAUGAUUUGAUCCUUCGCGUAUCGGCCCCAUACUUCUUUGAUCUCCCUUUCUCCUGACGUAAGAAAGUGACACAGGCUUGGCCAGCUUUUUUCAAACUUGACGGUCAAGUUCCCUGCUACUUCCGUAAAUACGCCUUGGAUGAGCCUAUCAACCGUGUACCUGGGAGCCCUUUUGUUUUCAUCCGCCAGAUUGUAAAGGAAGGCGCCAUCCCUCCUUUCUCUCACAAUCACAAUAGCCGUACAGUCGAAUAGUUGACUUAGAUGGGGGAUAACGGUCGAACUAUCAAAGAGGUGCGCUGCCAAAGAAUUAGGAGUUAUAACAUUCAUAAAAGAAAGAAAAAACCAAUAUACGAACUUCAACUAAGAAAGAAUAGGAAUAAGCACAAUUGCUUAAGUAUGGAAGUCGCUUCUUUUUUUCGGUAUACUGCUCUGCGAGCAGAGCGAAUGAACAUAAAUCUUUCUGAAUAUCAUGAAUUCCUUCGCCCCUUAUCUGCUCAUCUUCCUAUUUAUAAGCCACAGCUUACUUCGACGUUUUCAAUUUCCCAUAGAAUCUCCGGAGCUUUCCUAGCCACUAUAGUUUUCUUUUUUUAUCUUCUUUGUCUGAAAAUUGGUUUGAUUUGCUUCACCUAUGAGAAUUUCUACCAAUUCUUCUUUUAUUCUCUUCUUUGUCUGAAAAUUGGUUUGAUUUGCUUCACCUAUGAGAAUUUCUACCAAUUCUUCUUUGAUUCAUCAAAACUCAUCCUAAUCUCUGUCGACAUUACUGCCUUAGCUCUGUCCUAUCAUAUGUAUAAUGGAGUUCGUAAUUUAUUGACGGAUUUUUCGAGAUUUUUCUUUCUUAGAAUUGGAAGAAAAAGAUUGAAAUGACUAUUCCAAAUUUCACCUAUACCUUUCUUUGAGAUUUCAACAAAAAAUUUUGCUUUUCUUAUGAAAUGUUUAUUAUUCGUUGAUAGAUCUAAAGCUUAUGCCGUAGAAGCUGACAUCAGGCUAUUGGCCUUUUAUCUGCAUCUUCCCUCGUAGAGUGGCGUCUUUUAUAAGAAAAGACUUUCUCAGUGGAACUAAAAAAAAAAAAAGAGUUUGAGCUCUUUUUUUUGGUUGACCUUUAGCCACGCGCGGCGGCUAUGCGCAUGUGUCCCAAAGUGACGUAUAUUUUUUGGUAAUGGGUAUACUCGAGAGAAAAGGUUUGGAAUUCGACCUCCCCUUAUACGCUCUAAAAAGGGGUCAUGGACUCCUUUUUUGUUUAGGAUCCCCUUUCUACAUUCAAUUUUUUGGUCAUUGACUCCUUUUUGUCUUAGGAUCCCCUUUCUACAUUAAAAUUUUUAUUGAGCCUGGUGUGGAAUCACCAUCAUUACACAUUCAUUCUUGGUCUCGCUGCUGGUCUAGCGAGCCUUCCUAGCCGCCUAGAGUGCAGCCUGCCUGCUGAAGACCGUAACGUAAGUAACUCAGUGCUCCAUAUGGGGGAAAUGAAAGCAGAAUUUGUUCGGAUCCUCCCACAUGUUCAAUCUUUUUUAGUGGUUUCCCCAAAGAUCUUUAUCAUUAAUGCAACCUUCAUUUUGCACAUUCAUGGAGUUGUAUUUAGUACCUCUAAGAAAUAUGAUUAUCCACCGUUUGUCAGUAAUGUGGGUUCGCUUGGAUUAUUUAGUGUUGCGCGCCUAAGAGGGCAGCGCACUUUGGGAUGCGGAGGAGCUAUUAUCGUCCCGCUCCCAAACCUAAAGCGGCACCGGGUUUGGACCGCAGGGAACCGUAGCAUGGGGGGAUCUCUAAUCCUUUUGCCGCCACAAGGCUGGCUAAUCGUACGCAACAGGCUCGAAUACCCCUGGUUCUGGAAGGCAUAUGAGUCUGAACGCUAUGUUGAAUGUGCGACCGAGACUACACUACGUAGGUACUUGUGCAGGUGAGGCGUCGGUCGGUCCUUGAAACGGUGGCAGCGGCGCGAGGAGUUAACGACCGAACGUGCUGCAACCUAGGGAUCACCAGGCAGCUCUUUCACUCUAUAGGGAUCGGGGGGGCAUAGCACAAUUAUUCUUGGAGGAGAGUUGUUUGCCCGGGUGACUGAUCCUGCCAUAAUAUACUUCUACCUAUUAUAGCACCGGAAACCAAAGUCGAGCAUACAUACGACGAUCUUCAUGCGUGAAUAGCCGGGAGGAAAGAAAGGACGGUAGAUGAUAAUGAGAAAGGGCGUCGUGUCUGGACGGGCGGAAUGGAUGAGCGAAAGGUGUCAUACCAUGUAGUGGGGAAUAGCCCUCGUCUCAUGUAAGACAACUAAUUACAUCUCGAGGUGCUGCCGAGGAACUGAGAGACCUUCUCGAGCACAGGAUAGGUAAUUGAGCGAUAGACCUAGCCUAUUCGUUAUGGGAAAUCAAUGCUCCGUUCAAAAUAAAGCUUACCAAUGGCACCAGGCUUUCUCCGGCGAGCUUUCUAUUGUAAAGCCAAAGAUGCCCCAAGACAAGGUACAACUGUUGGGAAGGGGACAUGAUCAAUAGAACCUGGUUGGAUCCGGGCUGGGAUAGUGCCGCCCAUUCUUAACCAGUUUCGAAAGGGUUCGCUCAUGCUAGAGGGAGCAUCCCCACUUAGUGAUCGGCCCGCUAGUUCAUGCAAAUCCAAAGAAGUUAUGACGGACGAGCCACAUGGAGGAAAACUUGCACGUGUGGUUCUGGCCGGGCUUUCCUGAGGUAUAUAAUAACCUUGCUUCUGCUCACUACUGGCGCACCUUUCCUAACUAUUGCCCAUUUAUUCAGAAUAAUCUUUUUAGGAGGGAAUAUUUUACAUAUUUCUGCCAAAUCCUUCAAUUAUUAAGUACCGCUGGUACCAUUUCGAUGUGUUCCAAUUCUUUCAAACAAGAGAGGUUUGAUGCUUUUGAAUCCAUUGUAUUAAUUCCACUUCCUACUCGCGGUAUGCUGUUUAUGAUUUCGGCUUAUGAUUCAAUUGCCAUGUAUUUAGCUAUUGAGCCUCAAAGUUUAUGUUUUUAUGUGAUUGCAGCAUCAAAAAGAAAGUCUGAAUUUUCUAAGGAAACCGGCUCGAAAUAUUUGAUCUUAGGUGCAUUUCGCUCUGCAAUAUUAUUGUUUGGGUACGACCGGACAACUACAUAUCUUUUCUUGAUAUAUUCUUUACAAAUAUAUAUCUAUCUAUCUAUAUCGUAAACAAUCGGAUCGUGUAUUACUUAGAUGGGAAACUUGUAGACCUCAUAGGUUGUAAUCUUUUUCUUACGGGGGGAACGAAAUAAAAGAAUAUAUAGACUAGUAGAGACCCUCUAUGUAGUUGUCUAUCUAGGGCGAUCGAUCUACAUCUUUCCCCAUAGCCCUGGGGCUGUGUCUCGAUCUCCUAUGUGCGAAAUAUAAGGGACUAGCUAAUUGUCUAGGGCAAUCGAUCUACAUCUUUCCCCAUAGCCCUAGGGCUGUGUCUCGAUCUCCUAUGUGUGAAAUGUAAGGGACUAGUUCCUAUAGAGAUUCCCCUUGGUCUAAUUCCACGCCUUACGACGAAAGGGGAGUCGGCGUGGCCUAAAGUGAAGAUUGGGGGGAGUAGAAAAAAUUCCCUUAUGGGGUAUUCCGAAGGUGUAACCUAGGCAACGAAAAAGGGGCCCGAUACUUCAACUAGAGGAGCGACCAUUUGGUUCACCAAACCCCGUUCUAGCGUCACACAUUCUCCAGGUCCGAAGUGAUCCAAUGCCCAACUACCGACUCUUCCCGGAAUUGCGUUAUCGUUGCUGAGCCAGGAAUGGCCGUUAGUGGACACCCACCACUUUUCACCGGUUAGAGAGGCCCUCUUUAAUACAUUAAGAAAAGAUGUUCACAGGGGCCAGAAAGACUCGGUCAUAGGAAUUUAGAACACCUACGUGCUGGUAAACGAAAACCACCUCGACCGGAUCAGAGUAAACAAGAAUGUCGAAUCAGGCCGCCCUUUGCCUUGAAAGAAUUCACACGCGGCCACCAGCUUUCCCAAAAUAAGGGGAGAUCUGUGGAAACCACCUCGACUGGAUCAGAGUAAACAAGAAUGUCGAAUCAGGCAGCCCUUUGCCUUGAAAGAAUUCACACGCGACCAUCAGCUUUCCCAAAAUAAGGGGAGAUCUGCUGCUUACUACUGACGAAAACAUCCCACCUAUUCUAUAGUCAAGUCGUUCGCCUAUCUUUCUGAACCCCUUUCCUUCUAUUCUUCAGAUAUUAGGCUUUGACCCAGUGAAAAAUGGGUUGAUGGUGUUGGCUAAAAAAGGGGGAGAGAGGAGAGCCUUAGGGUACGCUCAAUUGUUUAGGUUCUCGAGAUUCUCAAUCGCUCUUUUAAGUGCGGAGGAAUAGUAUGUGAAUAGCAGUUCUCUGACGAGGAAAUCAUUCCUCUCUAAAUAAAAAGAAGAUAGAAUCUUUCUAUUGAUAGAGCUUUCACGUCUGCGCAUAGAAUCCUUUUUUGCUGUUCCAUUCUGUUCUUAUGGUAGUUGGGUCAGAAUCCGUGUGAUGGUUCAAAAGUCGUUUCAAAUAUUCUUCGCAUCCUAGAGAGAUAGAUUGUUGCCAUUGUGCCCUGGUUGUCAAAAGGGGCACGAACAGCCUUAAAGUACUGCUCCAUGUCCUUGAGGUCUUCGAGCCUUGGCAUUUAGAAUCCCGUUGAAUUUCUGUGGUUCCGGGACUCAGUUCUGGAGUCGCCAGGUGAGACAUUCGGUUCACGAACCGCAAACCUAUCUCCACAGCGAGCUCUUCAAUUUGACCCGGUCCGUCACACUUUGGACAUCGCCACCGGGAUCAUUGAGGCCCCAUGAAGAUGUCUACUUCACUGGGAAGACACGGUACUCAUUAGCGAGCGUCUGGUGACCAACGAUUCCGGAUUCCCCUGCCUUUCUGCCAUUGUCUACACUUGUCUAUCCAAAUGGUCGACCUUGCCAUCAAGUUGGGUCACUCGAUCCUUGAGUGUUUCCUUAACAAAAGCCGCCGCUAACAGCACUCCACUUUCACGCGAAAGAGAAGGUAAGGCUUGACCUUGGCUAAGCUUAGUCGGAUUCUUCCCCUAUGUGAACUACCUUUAGCUUUCGAUAAGACAGCUCCAGCAGAAUCCUAAGAAAACUUUCACCACUCCUAAAGCAAGCAUUUCCCUUGCGCGUGCUAUUCCCUCUUCAAUAAGUGAACCCGGAUCCUCAUCCUCAUCUCUUGAACUCUCGGCUGAUAAAGAAUAGGAAAAAACUCUCUUAUUAUAGAGGAAGCUCUUGUCUCUCUCUUGCCCAUGAACAGGUCAAGUCUAUGUGACCAGAAUAAAUCAGUCUUAACUAAUCCAAAAGGCUAGCGAUGUCACCUCCGGGUAGGAGUUCCAUUCAAGAAGAUGGAUCCGUUUAAGCCGCUAUUUCAUCAGCAUCUGGCACUGCUUGACUUGCUUUCACUGCUUUUUUGAGCUUGAACGUGGCACUCAAGCUUCCAUGUCAACUAAAGUCUGUCCUCCGUCAAAAUGAAAUUGGCACUGCUUGACUUGCUUUUACUUAUUUUUUGAGCUUGAACGUGGCACUCAAGCUUCCAUGUCAACUAAAGUCUGUCCUUCGUCAAAAUGAAAUGGCAAUAACUCGUUUCGUCAAUCAAGAAAUUCAACACUGGAGUGCAGAGCAGGGCUUCCACUCAAAGAGGAAGCCCCAGCGGAAAGGUCAACUAAGAAUGAGCAAUUAGAAUUGACUAAAUAAGUGAAAGGGGAACAGUCUUAUCUUAAGAGUUUGUCGUCUUGCGAAUUGGCUUGACAAAUUUUCGUCGGUAAAUCACUCUUUGUUGUCUGUCAAGUUAUCUAUAUACUUACUGGAGUGACCGAAGUGCUUCCUGAAACAAGCACGAUGGAACGGUCAAGAAAUAACUCGUAUGGGGAGAGGAGUAGGAGACACCCCAUAUGAGCUUUUGUAGGAGCAAGCUGACCGAGUUUCAGACCCCGGAUAGGAGUCCUUCUUUCUCUUUAUUGACCUUGAAGUUUCGGCAUACAAGUAAGCACGAACAUGAAUAGGAGCAGGCAAUGGAAUUGUAUCACAAUCGGAAUAUGUUGAAUAGGCGUAAUAGCCCGUCUGCCAGCUAUUGGAAUAGGCCAUCCGUCUUAGCCACCUUAUUUUGAAGGAGCAAGCCAGCAAGUCUUCCGCUGACUAAUCUCCCAUCGCUAUCAAGUCCAACCGGAUCUUCUUUCUCUUGUUUCAAAACCCCAACCAGUAACCAAGACAAACAAGCCAGCUUCGGUAGUGGUAGUAGCUUCAAAGGAACUGGUAGCAUGUCUUGAAUAGGAAAGCAUUCAAAAGCUUGAACAAUGAAGUGAAAUUACUUUAUAGUUCGAUCUCGUUUUCAUCAUUGUCGACGGAAAAUAAAGAAGGGAGUGUUUUAAUUUCCUUUGUUUCGACUUUUAAUUAGCCUAAAAGUUUUUCCAUUUAAUCACUGACAAAACCUACCUUUCAAUUCAACUUUACAAUAAUCAAUCGAAUGGGUAAGAGCCUCUUCAUAAUCCCUAUUCAAAUUGCUUGCUUGACUGAUUAAGGUGGCUUUACUCUUGUUCCAGUCACUGUGGCUCUUGCUUGAGCCGAGAAGUACAGAAGGCACAGAGGUGAGAAGUUUUUAGUACGAAAAAUGGACAGGUUUCAAGUAAGGCGAGUAAGAGAACGGCUAUUGCUUGAGCCGAGAAGUACAGAAUGCACAGAGAUGUGAAGUUUUUAGUAUGAAAAAUGGACAGGUUUCAAGUAAGGCGAGUAAGAGAAGGUUAGAGAGAACCGUUGCUUUGACAUAAAGGUUUGCCUUAUAAAAAAGAAUAAAUAGAUAUACGUGAAAUGAGCCCUAUUCCUCCUUUCCAAUGGCCAAGUCACCACCUCNNNNNNNNNNNNNGGAUAUAGAAUAAUUAAUUCACGUCACACGGGUAGGUUUAUAGCUAACAUUGUUUCAGAUAUAUGUAGAUAUUUUUGCUUUAGGGAUAAAAUAAUGGCAACUUCUAUGGAUAAUGCUUCUAGUAACACUAGUGCAAUAGGCAUGCUAACACAAACCCUUAAUCCUUUCCUUGAUGAGACUAAGGCAGCUUUACUAUUAGUGUGAAUAUGGAGGGGAAGUAUAUUUGCUGAAGGCAGGUUAGUGUUCAGCGACAACGAACGCUAACAUUACAUGAGAUGCGGUUGGAAGCGAGGCAGCAAUCUUUCUAUGUUUUCCACUCGAAUGUAGUUUUUCUGUGUGAGCUUAGAUGACCAACUCAAUUCUCUUCACCCUUUGGGGAGGACUUUCUUUUUCCUGUCUCGAACCGGAGGCACCCACCAGUAGUAGGGGGCGCCCAAAAUUGACCUGGGUAGGCGAGCUUCACAGCGUUAGGUAAGGCUGUAUUCUGUCCGAGUUCAGGCCCGGGACUAGACCGGGACCGCGGUCCUGGCGGGUCUGCCUGUCCUGGCGGGCCCAACGGCUAUUUUAUUUAAUUUUUUUUUUUGAAAAUUGAGUAGCGACUCUUUGCAAAAAGUAGUCGUUUGGAACUUUGAAAAAUAGCCAUUUGGCCCCAAAACAUUAAUUUAACCCCAAACAUUAUAUAAUUACACUUUUUCCCAUUUCUCAACUAUAAAUACCCCCUCGUUCUUUCAUUUUUAUUCACCAAUUCAUCAAUAUCUCUCAAUCUCNNNNNNNNNNNNNNNNNNNNNNNNNNNNUAAUUAUACUUUUUCCCAUUUCUCAACUAUAAAUACCCCCUCAUUCUUUCAUUUUUUUCACAAAUUCAUCAAUAUCUCUCAUUCUCUCUCAAGCCCUCUUUCAAUCUUUCUAGUACAAGUGCUUAAUUUAUUGUUGAAAAAUUGUGGAAAAUUGUGAAGUUGUUGAAUUGAAGUUUUCAAGUUUUCAAGUCCAACGAUUUUCAAUUUUCAAGAAGUUGUUCGGCAAUCUGGUAAACUCGUUUCAACUCUUACGUNNNNNNNNNNNNNNNNNNNNNNNNNNNNNNNNNNNNNNNNNNNNNNNNNNNNNNNNNNNNNNNNNNNNNAAACUCGUUUCAACUCUUACGUGCUAAUAAUAUAUUUUUGUGUUUUUUAGUUUGCAUAAUUCUAAUUAGUAUGGCAUUUUCUUUGAAAAAAUGUUCGGCAAAAGGAAAAGGUAAAACUGGUGAAAGUAGUGGCCUUAAUACUACCCUUCCCCCGGCUCCCGACCUAAAAAAUAUAAGCAAGUUGAAACUAGUCGCCAACCUAGACGUCCUAAUCCGCCUCCCGUAAUGCUUGAUAGUGAUCACCCUUGUUUNNNNNNNNNNNNNNNNNNNNNNNNNNNNNNNNNNNNNNNNNNNNNNNNNNNNNNNNNNNNNNNNNNNNNNNNNNNNNNNNNNNNNNNNNNNNNNNNNNNNNNNNNNNNNNNNNNNNNNNNNNNNNNNNNNNNNNNNNNNNNNNNNNNNNNNNNNNNNNNACCUAUCUUAGAGGAAAAUGAGGAUGAUAAUGAUGAUGAUGAAACCCAAGCACCAGACUUAGAUGAUACACCUACUAGUCCUGCUCAUAACUCAGGUAACGAACCAGCACACCCACCUGUACGAACUCCCACUUUUAGUAGACAACCUGCUAAACGUCAAGAAACAUCAUUAGUUUGGUAUUUUUUACGCAAGAAAGAGAGCACGACAAGGCUAUGUGUAAAACUUGUGGGAAAUUACUUGUUCAUAGGUACACUGGAGAUCGUAGCGGCACGGGUAGUUUGACUAGGCACAUAAAAUUACACCCUAGAGAUAGAGCUAGAUUUUUGCAAGUCAUUGGAUAGAUGAAGAUUGGACAAUGCAAAAUGCAUAAUUGCACAUAGAAUAAUUAAUUUACGGCACACGGGUAGGUUUAUUGCUAACACUGUUUCAGAGAUAUGUAGAUAUUUUUACUUUAGUGAUAAAAUUAUGGCAAUUUAUAUGGAUAAUGCUUCUAGUAACACUAGUGCAAUAGGCAUGCUAACACAAACCNNNNNNNNNNNNNNNNNNNNNNNNNNNNNNNNNNNNNNNNNNNNNNNNNNNNNNNNNNNNNNNNNNNNNNNNNNNNNNNNNGCAUUUAGUAAUAUUUUUCAUGUUAGAUGUAUUUGUCAUAUUUAUCAUUUAAUUGUUGGUGAUGGUAUGCGAAUAUAAAACAUAGAAAUUGAAAAGGUGAUAAUGGAUCUUAAUUGGCUAUUUUAUUCAAACCGUAGAACUAGACAUAGAGAGUAUUUUAAUAAAUGUGACGAAUAUGGCCUUAGAGAAAGAAAGGUUCCUAAACCUUGCUCGACUACGUGGAAUUACCUGUACGAAUGUUUAGUAGUAGCAUAUGAAUAUAGAAACCCAAUUAUGCUACGUUUAACUCUAGGGCAGGUGGUGAGGAUGAUGAUGAAAUUCUAACUACCCAAGAUUGGACUAAUGUUAAAAUUCUUUUAGAUUUUUUUGAACAUUUUCAAGUUGCUACAAAUGCUUUUUCUGGGAAAUAUUAUCCGACUAUUUCUAACUGUUUAGUUUGUAUUGCCGCACUAGCUGAUUUUUUUUGUUGAAUUUAGCGAGGUGGGGAUAUUUAUGAACUUGCAAUAAAUGAAAUGAAACAAAAGUUUAAAAAAAAUGUUUUUCCUAUCCCUCUAUUUUUGGUGUAGCUGCUAUGUUAAAUCCAACAAUGAAAUUAGGAGGUCAUCACUUUUGGUAUUCUAAUAUUUAUAAAGCUUUAGAUCUUUCAGAAGACAAAAUUGCUACACUAGCUGAUACGAAAGCAUCAAUUAAAAUUAAUGCUCAAACUGUUUAUAAUGCUUAUAAACAGGCGUUAGAGCAUGCUAGGCCAAAUAUUCCAACCCCUACUUCGUCUACAUGCUUAUAAACAGGCGUUAGAGCAUGCUAGGCCCAAUAUUCCAACCCCUAUUUCAUCUACAUCACAAUCGUCUAAAAGAACUGCUGGCUUAACAUCUCUCAAAAAUCGUGGAUGAAGUUCCGGGGUUCUCAAGCUGAUAAUUUUGAUGAAAUUUCCCAUCUAAAUGAGCUUCAAGUUUACUUGUCACAGGGACUAGAAAAGGAGAAUCCAGACGGCUCUUUCGAUCUUCUGGAAUGGUGGAAGUCAAGGGAAAAAUAUUUUCCCGUUCUUGCAAGGACGGCUCGGGAUGUUUUAUCAAUUCAAGCUUCAACUGUUGCAUCGGAGAGCGCUUUCAGUCAAGCAAGACUACAAAUCGGUGAUCAUAGAGCGGCGAGGCUCGGGAUGUUUUGUCAAUUCAAGCUUCAACUGUUGCAUCGGAGAGCGCUUUCAGUCAAGCAAGACUAAAAAUCGGUGAUCAAAGAGCAUUGAAGCGGGAGAGCUUGGAAAAAUUAGUGCAUUUUAGAGAUUGGAUCCGCGCGGAAAGAAGAAACAUUGGCAUAGCAGAAUCACAACCGGCAAUAGAUGAGGCAUAUGAAGAAAUGAUAGCAGAACUUUCUGAGGAAUCGGCUUUACCCGGAAGUGGUGAUGAACAAGCUUCAUUCCACCACCACCAACACAACCUCCUCCCAACCCACGGAUUUAUGAGAUUUGUUAGAGAUACAACGUAAAUUAUGAUGUAACUUGUAUAUUAGCACGUCUUCUUUUCGUUUUUUUUCCAUUAAUGGUGGUAUUAGUACCUUGUUAUGCUCAUUCCAUUGGGGGAAAGAAGACUAAGAAAGAUAUGCCAUUUCGGUCAAUAAAUAUGCUCUUUGCAAAAUAUACUAAUUACAACAACACAAUAUAUACAUUAUACACAAUAUAUACUAAUUAUUACAACACAAUAUAUACAUAAUAUACAACACAGUAUAUACAUAAUAUACAAUAUAUACUACUUACUACAACACACUAUAUACAUAAUAUACAAUAUGUACUAGUUACUAUAAAGCAUUAUGCACAUAACAUAUAUCCAUAUAUACAUAACAUACAAUAUAUACUAAUUACUACAACACAAUAUAUAUAUAUAUUAUACAAUAUAUACUAAUUACUACAACACAAUAUAUACAAUACUAAUAACUUAGUACACCAUAUAAAAUAUAUUUUACACUAUACUUAUGACUACUAUACAAGAUAUUGACUUAAAAAUUAAAAAUUAAAAAAAAAACCAUCAGGCCCGUUAGGCCCGCCAGGCCCAGGACCGCAGAGGGCUUAGGCCCGUAAUGGGCCGGUCUCUACCGUGAGGACCGACAGGCCCGGGACCGCCAGGCCCGGCACACCAAGACUGUGACCGCGAAGCCCGGACCGUCAGGCCCGUUUAGGCCCGGGCUCGGGACAGAAUACAGCCUUAGCGUUGGGCUAUAGUUACCAGUUUUGAGUUACUCAGCGGUUAUUCCCCACCAGCACGGCUUGCGUAUGCGGAUCUCUCUCUCUACUACCAGGAAAGGGGUUAAAAUCGCCAUCGCUGGAGCACUAUUGGCCUCGAUUAUCCCCCAGCUGAUCUACCCUGUAAUGUGAUGAGUUCCGACCCCUUUCAUUACUAAGGGGCCCAUUCUUACUGAAUGAGUAUGAAAGGAAAACAAAGUGCCCAAGAGAUUGGAGGACAAGUAGUGAACUAAUUUAUCUUCUUAGAGAGAAGGAUAUGCUUGAACAACUUAUUUCGUUCAAAGAGAUGGCAAUCACUUUCUUCCCACCCAGAAAUCGUAGUAAAAACAAUCAUAUAUUCGGAAAGAGAGAAUCGAGAGCCGGGAAUCUUCUUCUUUAGCAAAUUCAACUUCUUUCCCGGGAGCAGCAAGAAUACCGGUUUAUUCAUCUGCACCGGAAGUCACGGAGCUCUCUUCUCUUUCAAUGUGAGCCGGAUUUCUAAGCACUAGUAUUUCCUUCUCACCAGCUAACUCAUAGAAGUCAACCCAUGCGCCUUUCGCGGGGUGAGCAAAAAGCCUUUCCCUGGAUCCUGGUAUGAAACCGGAUUUCUAAGCACUAGUAUUUCCUUGUCACUAGCUAACUCAUAGAAGUCUACCCAUGCGCCUUUCGCGGGGUGAGCAAACAGCCUUUCCCUGGAUCCUGGUAUGAACUCACAAAAAAGCAUUGACCCGUCGCCUGCUUCAUCUGCAGAGAAAGAUACGUAUCUUAGGGAAUAAGGAAUCUGAGGAUUCGUUGAACAUAGUUCAACUCAUUUCAUACAAUUCGCUCAUCCGUCCCUAGUUCAGUUGCAGCACUCCUUCUCUUUCUCAGGGAUACUACUGUCUCAGUAGGACAAUGAAUAGCUUAUAUAGGCCUCUUUCCUUCGCUUCUCGACAAUUAGUUAAGUUCCGAGUCAUGAAAACUGACUGGAUUCUAUCUAUCUACUAGAAAGAGAUAUACGAGAUUCACUCUCUCUAGCUCAGCUCAUAAGCUAUACAAAGCUGGGGAAUACUCGCUUAAAAGGAGCUCUCUUAUGAAUUCGCUAAGGACAUGAAAUGAGUCUACUGAAGUAUUAGAAAAAUUCUAGGUAGAGAAUCCGCUUCAAGUCUUAUUUGCUGCGAUAAAAAAAAUCUAAGUGAAAAAAAGAAUCAAUCUAUUAGAGCGGAAGUAGAGAACGGUACCAGGGCGGGCCCAUUCUCGAUAUGGGUAAUCCUUACGAAAAAAAAAAUCAAUCUAUUAGAGCGGAAGUAGAGAACGGUACCAAGGCGGGCCGAUUAUUGAUAUGGGUAAUCCUUAGUAUACUCAAAAACUUCGUUGUGGUGUCAAGACCAUUUUCGGAAGAGCGUGGAAUAGUAGAGUUCUUCUUCCUUUUAUUCCAAAAUGAGGGCUACGCGGCCGAAUCCUUCAAUCCGAGGCGAUCGAAGUGAGGCAGAGUUUCGUCCUGAGCAAUGAAGAUAGAGACCAAUCACUUUGAUCGUGGUUGUUCUAGCCAAGCCGCUUCGGAUCCAGCUAGCCCUUGAAAGGAUUAACUAAAAGUAUCAUUACUUAAGAAAAGGUCUCGGCGUCCCCGACCUUGGGGCCUAGUCGCUGACUUGAUGGCUAAUCAUCAGUCUAUGGUACUAAAGACCUUACCGGUCGGGUAAAGCUUGCGCGAAGGGAUUCGUUGAACAUAGUUCAACUCAUUCACUCUAAUAGUAGAAGUCAUCAGGACGGUAGCACUUCAGCGAACAACAGCUACUGCUGCAGCAGCUUUAGAUACUCGCCUGGAAUCGGUAUUUCAGACCUAUGUCAUGGGUCCCACCUGCUUACCGGCAUGCUUCUUGCAACACGGACUUCGGGUUUUGGAGGGCGUCCCGCGCCUAGCCCUUAGCUCGGGACGGGAUGAAGUGUUCAAGGUUUGGACUUCGGGUUUUGGAGGGCGCCCGUGCCUAGCCCUUAGCUCGGGACGGGAUGAAGUGUUCAAGGUUCUCCGCGGUCAUUAUUAUUAUAACAUAUCAAAAUCGUCUCGUAAAACUGCUAUGCGCUCUCAAGAUUUCAAUAAUACUUUUGAAGUAGAAUUGUUAGAGAUUCAACUCCCCUGCCUUUACUUCCAUCCUACCACUGAGCUCAAUCUCGGGGCUCACGAGGAUAGGACUGCAGGCACUACACUUAUCAUUUAUGUAAUUUAGGUAAUUAGGUAAGGUUAGUCAUUUCACAUAUGCUGAUCCUUCUCUUAUGAUUUUUUUUGCUUGCUUUCGCACGCCGAUCUAAUUGAUCGCAUCGCAAGUUAAGAUGUCGUCGCGUCAAUCAAGUCAAGUAUAAUUGCUGUUUUUUUCCCUUUCUACUUUAGAAUUAGAAACUAAAUGCUAUUCGUUUCUUCCCAAAAUUGCUCAAAGAGCAUGUGAUCCCUUUCUACUUAAGAAUUAGAAACUAAAUGCUAUUCGUUUGUUCCCAAAAUUGCUCAAAGAGCAUGUGUGAAGAAUAUUAUUCUGUCAGAGCUGGAGGAUCUUUGGCAGGCUUUCGCGUAACCCUAGUGAACUCGAGUCGAAUCACCCAAGAAAGGGAAAGACUAGAAGGAUGCUACCCACGCACCAUCAACAGUAGCAGAAGGUCAAGAUCUAAGAAGAGAUGGGAGGGAAGUCCCCAACCUCAAAGGUUUCGGAUGACGUUCGGACAUCAAAUCCACCUCGAAAGAAAACAAGUGAACUACAAAGAAAAAAGAAUGGAAAGGAAUUCCUUUGUUUGUAUUGGUAGCCACUUGCAGCUCGAUUUCACUUAGCGAUCUCGACUAAGUCACCUCACCAGAGAUAGGGUGAUUUCCUUCUUAAACCACCUAUUCUAAUAGAGGAUACCGUAUAGUGAAACGAAUCCUUCAUCCUUAUAAGUUCAACUCAUUCGGGAAAAAGUCAGGAAGGUUGAGGAAAUUCCACUAUUUGUUUUGGGAAAGACCUCACUCGCACGUAAUAUAGUAAUAUAUAAGGCUCUUCUUUAAAUACGUAACCAAUCCAAUUAGUCUUUCUGGCUGGAUCUCCCCCAAUAGACUCUUUUUAAUAGGUGUCCCCGAGAAUGCCUGUCAUAAGCAUAACAAAGCUCGAUCGGAGGGCAUUAGGAACCUAUUUCCUCUGUGCAGAUGAGCCCCGCCUUUCUAUUCUCUUUCAGAUUGAAACUUCUUGGUGUCCAUGACUUCUAAACCUUCGCACGUCUUCAGAUCUGACCCAACAUUGAUAGUGACCUCCAACUAUACGUCUUACCAAAAAGUAUCCCUAAAGAAUAAUUAUUUAACAACAAACAACCAGUUCAGAUAUUCAAUGGAUAGGCCCUGAAAGGAGAAGGAAGGCCGGAAUGCCAACAGGCGUCUAUUCUAUUAAAUUUACCCGUUUGGGAACGCCCAGUGACAGGGUAUACUUUUCUUUGUCUACGACAAUACCUCUUGUUGAGACAACCCAUUUCGAAAUCCUAUUUGCAAUUCCCGGGGUGUGAAGUCUACCUAUAGAUAGAGAAGGCGCAUGGAAGACAAAGCCUACAAGAAUUCUUUUCGUUCUACCUUGCAUGGCGGAUUGAAUAGCCUCUUCCCCAGGUCUAUUGAUGGAUCGCCUAGAAUCGUCUUCCCUAGAGAUACUAGGAAGUAGCAAGAAAGAAUAGAUAUAUAAGAAUAAGGAAGGGAUGGGGCUCCUAACUCGAGAAAAUCCGUCUUUCAAAUAGUAUUUUAUACCCAGAAGUUCAAUGUCAUAUUAGGGGUUCGAUCUCUGUCUUGACUCCGGCCUGAGAAUCAAACCAAAUAUUUUGUUGGUUGCGCCCCCUUCAGUGGUUUCCAUCUUAAAAAAGAAAGCUUGUUUGGCUCUUAACGAGUACGAGUGAAAGCCUCCUUUUAUCUUCAUCGAUCGUGAUGGUGAAUAGUUUGGGUCUUAACGAAUACGAGUGAAAGCCUCCUUUUAUCUUCAUCGAUCGUGAUGGUUAAUAGUUAGUUGAUAAGGGAACAACUAAACGAAAAGUAGAAGAGAUCUUAUUCGCCGAUGAGGUCGAAGUGGUAGUCAACUUAAGCUUUUCAACUCAAGUAAAGCGAAUAAGCUAGUCACUAAACAACUAUUUCAACCUUCCUUUCUUCCUUUAGGGGUGGUUACGUUCGUCGUACCUACUAUGAAUAGAGAAAACUAUCCCCAUUGCACUCACUAGCAGCCCAGGUCUUUCCAUUCUACAUGUGGAAUUAUCUACUGGUUCUCGUCCACUUACCGUUGACCUCGAGCAGUAGCUUAGCAGCCCAUGUCUUUCCAUUCUAUAUGUGGAAUUGUCUACUGGUUCGCGUUCACUUACUGUAGACCUCGAGCAGUAGCGUUGGCAUGUAAUAAGUUUCUGAUCCAACUUCUCCCCUUUUGUUGGUUUAUUUAUUUUCUAAACAAGAUGCCAAUUUUCCCCCUUUGGUACAGUCACUUCCGCAUUGGGGGUUUGGCCGUACUCCCUUUUCUCGAGUUACUCACUGGACGGAUUCCAUUUCGUUCUUCGUUACAGACUACGUUCCUUUCCUCUUUUCAGAACUCAAAACAAAAGUGAGUUAUUCCUAUCUCUUAAUGAGAGCCGCUUAUCGAAUAAAUAAUCAAUAAAUCAUCAACUAUUUAACCGGGGAUGAUAUUCUAUUAAUUUCCAUCAGUCGGAUUCUAGUAAUGAGAUGGGCUUUCUCGUCUGAUCUCUGCAUUAACAGGAAUGUGGGAAAAGCUUCUUCUUUCGCCUGUAAGCUUGAACUGGUUGCUAUGAAUCUUAGCCAGUUUCUUCUUACUCCUAUUGUUCUCAUUCCGGGCCAACCGUGCCAUGAAGAGUCGAGCAAGAGCAAUUGCAACUUUCUCUCAGCCUUUCCAAACAUGUGCCAUUGAGGGGAGCUUGCCUUCGAAGCGUAAUCGACCCUCUUUAUUCUUAAUAAUAGUGAACAUUGAGAAUAUUGGUCUUUCCCUGGAGCAGCAAGAAUACCGGUUUAUUCAUCUACACCGGAAGUCACAGAGCUCUCGUCUCUUUUAAUGUGAAUCGGAUUUCUAAGCACUAGUAUUUCCUUCUCACCAGCUAACUCACAGAAGUCAACCCAUGCGCCUUUUGCGGGGUGAGCAAAAAGCCUUUCCCUGGAUCCUGGUAUGAACUCACAAAAAAGCAUUGACCCGUCACCUGCUUCAUCUGCAGAGAAAGAUACGUAUCUUAUGGAAUAAGGAAUCUGAGGAUUCGUUGAACAUAGUUCAACUCAUUUCAUACAAUUCGCUCAUCCGUCCCUACGACUACUUACCAUUCGCCUUUAUUGAUUCUUUUCAAAGAUUGGGAUCCUUGCCUAUGAUUACUGUCUGACCUGCUUUGUUACCUCACCUUAUCACUUGGACUACUGCUCAUUCCCUAACUACCUGACCAGGGCUACCUCUUGCUAUUGCUACUCUGACUAAAGCCCCACAUCAAAGAAGGCCGCAACUUUUAUGCUUUUCACUAACUGGCAUGGCUAUUGCAACUACUGCUAGCUGAUCCAUUCAAAGACCGGGAUUUCUAACCUUACUACUCUUAUUGAUAUAGAACUACCCAUGAACCCUCGCUGCACCAUCUGUUGUCCGCUGCUUGGCUUGCUAUCGGGAUAUGCUUGCCGCCGAAAACCGAACCGAUUGGCCCAUCCCUUUCCUGCCAACGACUGCUGCUCGUGGAAUUGUUCGUCGUGCCACUGGAUUAAAGUUUCAACGUGUUUUCGGGGAACUGAGAUACGUAUUCUUAUUUGACUUGAAUGAGUUUCCCAGUUAGUGAGUCUUCCUUUCUCAAAACUACGUAUCUUUCUGUUUCUUCAGUAGAUCUGCCCAGUUGAACGCUUUCUAGCAGCACCAAAAGCUUAGGAGAUUAGAUACGUAGUGAAGCGAAAGUAGCCAUCUUUAUAUCUGGUUUAUUGACUGGUACGCCUUAUAUACCGCUUUUGGGCAACCUUCUCAACAACUAAGAGAUCCGUGGGGACUAGUUGAAGUAAUAAGCCUCCCACAGACUCUGGGUUCCUUGCGGCGCUGCUUGCUAUUCUAUCAAGGAAGAAGGAGCAGGUAAGGUUCGGGUCUUCGCGAUCCAAGGCCUGUCUUAAGAGAAGUGACCUUCGGAUACACGUCAAACAGUAAAGUGCUUUCUCUGAGGUGAAUCUAAUAGUUUAGAUAUCCUCGCACAGAUGUUCUCGAAUGCGCCGUUCUCUUUGUUAGAAAGCCCUCUUGCUGCUUGAAAAGGAGCUCAUGACAUAAAUUGACACUAUUCAAUGUCUCGAGUAGGCCAAUUGCCUUUCUUAUGUUAGAAAGCCCUCUUGCUGCUUGAAAAGGAGCUCAUGACAUAAAUUGACACUAUUCAAUGUCUCGAGUAGGCCAAUUUCCUUUCUUACCUUUGCUGGUGCUUGAGUUGGAUUGGAUGAGGAUAGAGGAUUAGCAAUGAUUCUCUAGCCUUUUUUUUUUACCUGGCCAGUCUAACUAGAUCUUUAUCUCUUGCUUGCUUUCAUUCUUUUCAGCAACUCGCCAGACUUGAACUGGCAGGGCUCUGAUCAAGCCUAUUUUUCCUACAAUAGAGUUUCUUUUGGUACGCAGUUCGAGACGCUUAAAUUUCAGCCUUCCUACAUCUACGGGCAGACCGCUUAAAGGAGUCUUCUAUCCGGACUCCCCCUAGAACCUCUGUCUGGUCUAUGGACUACUUUAAGCUUGAUUGCUCCUGUCUUCUCACUUAAAGCGUUAGCGGGUCACCAGUCCACCCAACCUUAACUAAGAAGAUGCAGCACCAUUCACUUUUUUUAUAAUAGAAUUGGAGCUAGCCCUGGCUAGGUGGCCCUCGUAUAUAGUAGUAAGGAUUCUUUCCAGUUUUUUUAAAGAAAGAUCUUGUUUGACAAAGAAUUUCUAACUAAUAGAGCUUUAAUUAAAUUUACCAUUUCUUGCGAAGUUUUCUCUUGUUUUGAGAAGUUUUUGAUAAAUACAAGACUCUUUCCCUUCUUCGGUUUCUAAUUUAGUAAAGUAUUCCAUCAGCGUCUUCCUAGUAAACUCUGGAUCUUUAUUAAAGAUUCCGUUAGCGACCAAGCUCUCUUUUUGCUGAGUCCAGAAUGGAUUGGGAUCCAAAUGGUCCGUGCGAGCGAUAAUACCUCUCUUUAUCCUUAUUAUCGCAUCAAUUUCAUCGUCGUUUACGUCACAUUGUGGAGUCACAGUUGAAAGACGAUGUUUAAUGGUGUCGUGUUGAAAGAUCCAAACAGGAUCCUUACAUGGAUUGGGAUCCUUAUGUGCUGGCGAGUGCGGUUCAUUUUUAGCAUAUUGAGGUUUGAUUGGGGCCGGUUGAUCCGCAAAAUCCCCCUCUCCCGGAAAAGGAAGUUGUGGUUGGGCGGAGGCAGGGAUCUUCUCCAGUGGUCAUUAGUAAUGCACUUUGUGGUCCUUAUUGGGUCCUGGCGAAGCAUAAGAAGAGAUUCUUAACGUCAGGAAUAUCGGCCUUAGCAUCUUUCAUAUUAAAAAUUAGAUUUUCUUUCUUUACUUGAGAAUGUUCUUACCAGGCAUACUACUCAUCACUUAUUUUGCCCUUUGGGAUCGAAACAACCUAUUAAGGGUUGUAACCUACAUAACCUACCUCCGGAAGAAGGUCACUGUAGUUCGAGCCCUUUUGAUAAAGCAGUUCCUGUACUUUGAAUGAAUUCAAGCUUGCCCUCCUCACCUCUCCCCCUUCCCCUUAUCAGAGAACCAAAAACUAACCAUGAUACAAGGGCCUGCCUCUCAGUACGUGAAAACGGAAGUGAGACUCUUUCAUUGUCUUACUUUUGCCCCUCUCUAGCCUAAUCAAAAAAUUUGAACAACCCCCGAGACACCAAACAAAUCCCCUAGAACUCACGCAUAUACCAUGUCAGCCUCCACCUUCAGAUCCUUACUAUCCAUCUUUAUCAGCCAACUCCCCCGUUUCAAAAAACUUUAUCCACCACAAAGAAAAGGUGCCUUAGCGGCUAUGCUUCUCCAGUGCCCGACCAUAGACGUCGCUCUCCCCCGGAUGUUGUAAUUCUUCUAGUCUUUAAUUCCCCGCAAAUGAAGAGAACAAGUCCUAGUAGGAGAAGAAAGUGGUCGAGUCGCUCGAUCCUCCCCUCUAGCCACUCCAGGUUUGGAAAAUGCGGCAAAAAGUACAAUAAUGCCCCAAAAAUUAAGGGGACUAGAGGUUGUUUUGCGUGUAGGCUAUUCCUUUGAAAAAGGAAGAAACCUAAAAAGAUAAAUAUAUGACAGAAGAUAAAAAAGAAAGGAAUGGGGCAAGAUAUGUUAUCCCCGCUCCGCGCCGACGCUAUGGAAAUUACCCCUAAACUUGUACUCGAAAAAAAAUAAAGCCAAAAUGCAAAAAGAAAUCCAACCCUUCCGCGUUUUCUAAAGCAAAGGAAAAUUAUGCAAGCCCCCAACACAAGGGCGGGUAGCCGUGCCGGUUCAUGCAGAAAAUAUUCACUAUAAUUGACUUUUCCUAAAAAAUAAAAAUAUAACAUAAGUAGAAUAAGGGGAUAAAUUGACUGUUUGGGGCGAGCUUCCAAAAAGAAGCACAGGGCGUAGUAUACUAUUAGCUGGAAGAGAAGAAAAAAGGCCCAUUGCGCCAGUCCCUUUUCCAAUGAAUAGAAGAGAAGGAUGGCAAAAGGAAGAACGUCCGAUGGAAGACAAGGGCAUAGUAUACAAUUAGCUGGAAGAGAAGAAAAAAGGCCCAUUACACCAGUCCCUUUUCCAAUGAAUAAAAGAGAAGGAUGGAAAAAGGAAGAACGCCGAUGGAAGACAAAAAAGAAAGAAAAAAAAAGUGGAACCAUGAUGAAUAAAAGACCCUCGAGACUUACGAGGUUCAUUAGAAACAGGGUCGCUAUCACAGAAUAAAAAGCGCUAAUGAUCAUAAGCCACUUCGACUCUUUCCCCUGUCAUGUCAGAAUUCAAAAAAAGUGUUAUCAAAUUGGGGAACACCCCCCCCCCCCCCCCUGUAUCGAAUUCUUUUAGUAUCCAGCCUGCUCUCUUUGUUCAGUCGGAAGACUUUUCUUUUGAAAAAGACUUUUUAGUCCCGUCUAACAAGAGAGGUAAAGCCUUUCUAUUCAAAUGAGACGCACUCCCAUUGUCUCGCUAAGGUCAGCAGCAGGACAUAGAGCAGGGAUUGAGUAGUCUUGGGAGGCGGACUUAUAUUCCCCAGUUAGGAGUUGACGACGUUUUCACUACUCAAACUUGAAAAAGUCUUUUACACCUUCGGGAAAGCAUAGUGGAAGACCCAACUUUUGCUUAAAAUCCCAGUUUUGAAGCGAGAGUUAGGCUCGAUUUAAAUUCAUACUAAAAAAUAGGUGAAUAGUUGAUAGAAGAUGGGGUCAAGCUAAAGGCAGAGCUUGAAUUGGAUUUUCCACUUGUAAAUCCGUUAGAAAAGUUGUACCUUGACAAGCCCCACGAUGCUUCUGCCAGCCCUCAUCGCAGGGACGAAGAGAUUCCCAAGACCAUAACUAUAGACUCAUUCUGCACCAGCCCACUAGCAAAACAAAAGGCAAGGAACUUCUUUGACUAGUAUAGUAUCGGGAACAUGCCUAGAAGAGGAUUUCAGAAUUCCAGAGGCGCGCAAACAAAAAAAACAAAACGCAAGGAACUUCUUUAACUUGUAUAUUAUAGGGAACAUACCUAGAAGAGGAUUUCAGAAUUCUAGAGGCGCGCAAACAAUGCCAUGCUUACUUCAUCUUCCCUUCAUGCUUAUACACCUGCUGGACUGUCUAUCCUUUCUUGCUUUUGACUAGAUUGAUUAUAUGAUCCAAGAGCUUAAACUAAGAGGCCAAUACUUCAAGGAACGAACUUGCAGGCCUUAUCUUAUACCUUACCUCAACUAAAAAAGCUAACGAGAAUGUCGAUUCCAUGCCUUAAGGCUGACUGACGCUUCCCUCUUUCCUGGUCUCCAUUACCCUUCUCCCGAAAAUGCGACCUUAACUAAAAAAGCUAACGAGAAUGUCGAUUUCAUGCCAUAAGGCUGACUGACGCUUCCAUCUUUCCUGGUCUCCAUUACCCUUCUCUCGAAAAUGAUUUUUCAUCGCUCUGAACUCAUCAAGUGGAAUAGUUAAUUACGUUUAACAAUCUUCAGCAGCUUCAAGGUAAAGAUGCAAUUUGCAUGAUCCAAGGCAUUCCCUGCAAAAGGCUGUUGGAAGUCUCGUUCUCGAUCACGGAGCAAAUUACUUCUGUCUUAAGAUCUGCAAUCUGGCACUUGAGGCGAAUCUUGCCCAUAGCUUUCUGAGACUCAACGUUGUACCCUGGGUCUUAAUGCUGUUCAGGUUCCUGGUGGGAAUCCCGAGCUUCCUUACCGUUUUUAGGGGUAUAACAUUUAUAGCUGACCCCGGAUCUACAUGCACUUGUUGGAGUUUUACUUCACCAAUAUAUCCUGAAAGGUACAGUGGACGAUUAUGGCGAAGGUCCCCUAUCAACAAAAAAGUCUUCUCGAGAAAAUGUGAGGUCUGGCUCCUCCGCCUUCAUCUUCUCUUGUAUGCCUCGGUUCUCUUCUUGAGGUACAUCAUUCACCUCUAUCUGGUGUACAUGGGGUGCAUACUUAUCGGCUUCUGAUAGAGCCUUGACACUUGUCGGAUGUCAGGUGACAACCUCAACAAGGUAAUUCUAGCUGGUACAUUAGCUAGUUGUGCUAACAAAUCAUAAUCGAAAGGCUCAUCUAAGCCGGGCAAUGCUUUCUUCUUCACCCUAGAGUUUACAUUCUACCGUCUCGGGAAAUUUUCGGUGGUAAUCAAGCCCGGUCGAAAGGCUCAUAUAAGCCGGGCAAUGCUUUCUUCUUCACCCUAGAGUUUACAUUCUACCGUCUCGGGAUAUUUUUGGUGGUAAUCAAGCCCGGAGCGGGUUCUGUCUACAUCAUUUAGACUGACUAGGGUCGGUGUCUCUCUCUUCAGAAUCAGACUUUGAAGCCAAGAUGGAUAUGGCACACUUACCAUGUUAGAGGACUGUACAAGUGACAUAGGCAAGCAAUCUCCAAGUGUCAUAGGGGUUCUUGCAGUGCCCCCGGACUGAGGAACCGUACAAGACUUUUCGACCAAAGGACAAGUCUGUUCCUGCUUCGUUUUCGGUUCCCGAUUCAAUUGAUUCUAGCAGUGCCCCCAGACUAAGGAACCAUACAAGACUUUUCGACCAAAGGACAAUUCUGUUCCUGAUUUUUUUUCGGUUCCCGAUUCAAUCUUCACCUUUCCUGAAUGAAGAAAGAGAGUGAAAGAGAAUAUAUUAGUGCAAUAGGUACAGAGGUAUGAGAAACAGUCUUCGUUCAGUUUUGUAGAAGAAAGCCGAGAAAACAAAUAGGAAGAGCACUAUGCAAGCUUAUAAUUAAGCAAAUAUAUAAAAGCUAUCACCACCUCAAGCAGUAAAACAAAGUCGUUAUGGCUAUGUUACUAACAUAGACAACUAUGAAUGGUAUUCAUUGACAGGAGUGACCGCUUUUCAGCUCAAGGAGUAAAACAAAGUCGUUAUGGCUAUGUUACAAACAUAGACAACUAUGAAUGGUAUUCAUUGACUAGAGUGACCGCUUUCUAGUCGUAGUUGGUACCGCCCCUGUUCACUUCAACAUGCAAGGAAUACCUUCGAGAAGAAUCAAAGUUUUUCUCCUCUGCAAAGCUAUUAAUGCUUUAUUCAAGAUCAUUAGCAGCCUAUUGUUCAUUCUCGCUCCCCAGUGGUUUUCGAAAGCUCGACAUGAAAGAAUAAAGAAAAUAGGAAAAAUGAGUACCGAGAUAUUUAGCUAUUUAGCCUUAAAGAAAGGUGACUUGGUAAGACUAGAAUCUGGAACAGAGAUUGGAUGAUGAAUUGCUUUCUCUUUAGCAGGAAUUGCGCCACCUUUUUAUUUAGCAACUUCCGCCCCGCUUAAUAGUAAUAGCAUUCACUUACCGACCGGUGAAAGGAAAGAGCGGCGUCAGCCAUCGACAAAGGAAUACCAGCUCUACCCGUGUGAGGCCUUGUAGCCAGAGAGAACCAUAGAAUCGGAAGGUUAUAUUAGAACAUCAGUGGAAAAGUCAAGAGGUAAUCUAAAAAUAGCUUUAGAAGCCAGAUUAGGAAAGUGUUUCCCGAGUUCGAGCAAAUGAAAUGCGACAUCCAGGCAACAAAGGGCUGUUGUCCGAUCUGCGCAUACAUCACUAAAGAAGAUAAGAAUCCACAUAUAUGGGGGAACACAUCAAAGGCCCAUGUUAUGGAAGUAGCAGAGUGCAACCGACAUUAUAAAGCAGCUUGCGGGACAAAAUUCGUGGCCGGAAGUGUUCAGGCACGAAGAGCUUAAGCAUAUUGUUCUACAAAGGUACCCGAUCAUGAAGGGCUCCUAUGAGGACAUACAAGUCCUCGAACUAAUGGAAGCAGGACCAUAAUAGAAAGAAAAGUAUAUGGAAGAAAAAGAAUGUUCCAGUUGUUAUGAUAGAGAAUGAACUACCAGAGUGCGUUGCUGCGAAUGGGCCUUUCCACGAGAGAUUCAUGGUCUUACACUUCCGCGAAAGGGUAAAUGAUCUCCAAGAAGAGAGGGUGGUAGCCACUUUAUGGGGCUGCAUACAACGAAGAAUGGAGAGAAUGAACCUAGAGAAAGGAAGUAAUCCCCAAGUGAAGAUGAAAUUCAAUGAUGAUGUCCUUAGGAUAAAAUAUAAAAAAGGAAGUGAGGACCCAAGUGAAGAUGAACUUCAAUGAUGAUGUCCUUAGGAUAUAAUAUAAAAAAGGAAGUGAGGACAGAACAAAUCAUCGUGCAGAAACCUGGAGCUCAGGAGAACAGAUGCUUGUGCAGGAAGGCACGGGAAGGCUCAUCAUAAAAAAUAAGUAAGAAAAGGCUGAAGGAGGACUGGGGAGCCUCUCGAAGUCUCCGAUCUCACAGAUGGUUAGGCUGCAAUUCCUUCACUUGUGAAGAAGCUUAGCUAGUUCUCGUUCCUCGGACAUUCUGUUCGCCUGCCCCUGCUUCAAGAUUGAAGUUUUCACCAGAAAUCUCUGUUAAAAAAAAAAAGAACGUUGUAGCGAGAUCGCAUAGGUCCAACAUAAUCCUCCUAACAGGCAGCCAAAGAUGGGUGAGGAUCAAUUAGUUAGCUAACGAAGUUGAUGUUGAAGUAGAAAGAAGGCUAACAAAUAGGAUCGGAGUCGGGGAAUUCUAACUCUUAACUUGCUCCUGCGACUUCCUUUUCAUUUGGUAGGCCAUGCCAAUGAGAUCUCAUGAGAGCUUUGAAUCAGUAAGCUCAUAUUCUAGGGUUCAAUUAGCGCCUACUUCAGGGGAGGGAAUUCACCCCAAAGCGGAUUAUGUUCGCUCUGCUCCUCUUGAUUCUGUUGUUCUAGACAAAAAGAUGAGAGUUUUUAAAGGUAUCCAGUUAGACCCCCGGGUAAAUGAUAUCUAUCCAUUUUAGCCACCCUUUCCAUUACUGAUCUAGUUGCUCUUGCUAUCUAACCCGCCACUUUAUUAUAUGAUCUUUUAUUGACUUCAAAAAGUCAAUUUUUUUUCUUUUUCUCGGGCCGACUUCAUACAUUCUAUUACUUAUAGAAAUAGUCAUGCCAAUCUUCUCGGUAAAUUAUGAUCUUUUAUUGACUUCAAAAAGUAAAUUUUUUUCUUUUUCUGGGGCCGACUUCAUACAUUCUAUUACUUAUAGAAAUAGUCGUGCCAAUCUUCUCGGUAAAGAAGAACACUUCCGCACGAUCUUAAGAGAGAGUAGUUCCACAAGAGCCUUAUCACGAGCCUUUACUUGAUGAAAGGCGCCCUGUAAGAUGCGCUAUAUCGACAAGGCGAGGAGAAAGCAGCCUAAUGGGAAUAGCUCCAAACCAAAGCAGCCCUCCAUCUCGCAUAUAGAAAUGGUUGACAGGCAUACCUAUUCAUGAUAUCGAAUAGGAAUGAUCAUUAUCAGGGGAUACAGAUAUGCCAUGCUAGGAUGAGCUAGGCUUGGAGGAGAAAGCAGCCUAAUGGGAAGAGCUCCAAACCAAAGCAGCCCUCCAUCUCGCAUAUAGAAAUGGUUUACAGGCAUACCUAUUCAUGAUAUCGAAUAGGAAAGAUCAUUAUAAGGGGAUACCGAUAUGCCAUGCUAGGAUGAGUUAGGCUUUCAACAGCAUAAGCCACCUCCCAAGCGGCUUCCCUCCAGUGCCUUUGACUAUUGCUACGGUCAUCAACCGCAGCAUUGAAUUGAGACUUUCCACCUUGCUUUGGACUUGAAUGGAUCUACUUCUCCUCUGCCAGAUCGAUCUUCAUUAAGGGGGUCAACCCAAGCUAUUGCUCUACCUCCUCUCCUUAUGUUAUAGUAGAUUUUGAAUUCCUAUUGGAUUUCUUACUCCAGAAAAAAGAGAGAAAUCAACAAUAAUGCGCACACGUGAAAAGGCUUACCCCGCAGGCUGACUCUUCCAAUCCAACUCUAUCGAAGGAGAAAAAAAGCUGGGACUACGACUUGCUUAGUGCAGGGCUGCUUGUCGUGAUUGGUUGGACACUCUCUUCGUCUAAGGUCUUAGCUUGGUCACUCUAUUAAGCUUUCCCAGCAAGUCUAUUGAAUGGGGUACGAAACUUGCUUAGUGCCAGGCUUCUUGUCGUGAUUGGUUGGACACUCUUUUCGUCUAAGGUUUUAGCUUGGUCACUUUAUUAUGCUUUCCCAGCAAGUCUAUUGAAUGGGGUACAAAAGAUUGCUAUUCAAAGUAUCGUUAAGAGUUCUGUUUUCUAGGGAGUAGUCAAGAUAAGAUGACUCUGAUAUUUCCUUCUAUGGAGCCGGAUGUGAGAUUAUCGCCUACUGAUCUUACUCAAAAAGAAUCAAUGGGAGUAGACACAUCAAUAGCAGCAGACGCAGAGGAAGAAAUCUGUGCUCUUUGGGCUAAGAUGCUGACUUUGCCGUGGAAAGAGUAAUGAGAGGAAAGCCUUGACCUUGCCUUGUUCUACCCUUCGAACUCGGAGAUUGAAGAAUAUCACUCUAUACAGCGACAGAGGCAAGAUCUCUACAUGUUGAUAGAUACCCGAGAGACUGAGUUCUUGGGGGAGAGAGAAAGGAGGCAUUACUCCCAGAAAACGUGCAACCAACCUUUCCUUCCCGCUUCUUCCUUGAGAAGAGAAGGUAGGGGCUCUGUUUCCGCAUCCGUUCCAUAUCAGUAUUCAUUGUUAAGAUCUCCCGGUAGAAUCGAAUGGUAACUGAAUCAUUCCAAUAGUGGGGGCUCUGUUUCCGCAUCCAUCCAUUCAGUAUUCAUUGUUAAGAUUUCCCAGUAGAAUCGAAUGGUAACUGAAUCAUUCUAAUAGUUCCGAACAAGUCCUGCAUGGGCUGUUUGUCGAAUGAGUUUGCAUUCUUCAAUCCAAUCUUUAAACUUCUGACAUCUAGAAUAACUUGCUGGAUCACCCCUCUAUUAACCUUUCGUUCCUAUAUGCAUCGGCCUUUUCUAAAUCGACAUAUCUAGGUUCCCAUAUUCAAAGGCUUGACAGGAGAGCUUUUCCUAGCCCUAUUGUCUUUCUCCGUCAAAAAUUUUUCCAAAUCAAAUGAUUCAAGACCUGAACUGAAAGAGACUCUACAAACAAAGCUUUCCGACUCGGCCUUGAGAAGCUUGUAUCCUUUGGAUUCUUGGGACCUAAUGAGCCAGGACAACCUAUACCGAAGGAGAGAAAUUCAUACCCUGCCGAUUUCUAGGGCAUUCGUUGGUUGGAUGUUAAUGCCCUUGCCCCCACGCCAGCUUGCUCUCUCAUCCCUCCCACCUUUGCCUAUACCUAGGAUUCCCAUUUGGUUCGGCUGUAGUUUCAUAGAUCUACAUGGGAAUCUUCGUCAGAUCGAUCAUGCAGUUACGGCCAAUCAAGCAGAGAUCGAUUGGCCUACCAGAGAGCUGACAUUAGAAGACUGACACCCACAGCACCAACAAAGCUGGACGACAUACGAUCAAAAGUUCGGGAUGAUGUGAAGCUGACAUUAGAAGACUUACACACACAGCACCAACAAAGCUAGACGACAUACGAUCAAAUGUUCGAGAUGAUGUGAUCCAAGUCAACCUAGAGGCAAAGCAGUUCCUUGAGUUUUUUUUUUCUGAGUGUUGAAACGAUAGAUUUUUCUUUUGCCAAUGAAUUGGAUCCACCCUGAUUCGAUCAAUAAUGGGAUUUUUGGCUAGAGAAAGGUUCUGUGACUUGGACGCCCAGCCCAACUUGGUCGGUCGGUUGGCCCACCUAACAGAUGAUGAGAUUCUCGAUCGAUUUGAUCAAAUUUCAAAAAGUCAUUCUCACUAUUCAGAAAGUUGGAGCUUUCGAUCAAGAUCUUCUCAUCUCACCCGUUUGGGCUAUUGCUCGAAUCGGAACCUUUAUGUGUUGGUAGGAUUUUGACUCAAUCUAAUAGCCUAACUAUCGGGCGCCAAUAAAAGAGAAAGUUUUCGCAUGGGCUCAUCGUCUGAUGCAGAACCUAUAGGUUUGCCUACUUUACUUAUAAAAGAUAAUGAGAAUGGGUUAUUCAAACAAAAAGGAAAAUGCCCUACUUAGUUGACUGACAAUGACAAAGGCUUGCGAAACUAAGUAAGGCCUGAGGCCCCCUGCGAAUCCGUAAAUCUGAGGUGUAUGCCACAACAAAAGGAUGGUCACCUUUGCAUUUUAUUUUUUCCUUAAGGGAAAAAAAGUACCCCCAUCAUAGUGAACCUCUCCUUGUGAUCGUGAUGAGGUAGAUGCCUCCCAGCCGGGGGGCGGAACGAAUCGGAGUUUUGUUAGGUAGCCACCGACCUACAUUUAUCCUUAAACUUCCGUGCUUGGUGGAGAAGAAGCGAACAAAAGUACGCUGGCUUGCUAUCUUGUUCUCAGUCACGAACUGGGAUCGCUCGCCAGCUAGGUUAGAUUGGGGCAAUAUUUAAUGAGAACAUAUUCCCCAUAUUCGGGGACAAGGGGCGGAACGACCUCUCGAUCUACUUACUGCAGCCCAGGAAGAAAAACGUCGUCUAGGCGUUCCCUGUUGCUCCGAUCUCCCCUACGCCUAGGACGUUGUCUGGGCCAAGAGCCAUAAUAGGAAGAAAAAUGUCGUCUAGGCGUUCCCUGUUGCUCCGAUCUCCACUACGCCUAGGACGUUAUCUGGGCCAAGAGCCAUAGUUACUUGUUGUUUCCAUUUGGUUAUUUCUUCCUUGUUGUUGAUACCGGCAAGACCCAGCCAGAUGAUGUCUGCUGGUUGGUAGUGAGAGGACUCUUAGUACUUGCAUACCCAAAAGAGGGCGCUGGUUAAAAAACAAUCAUUUUAUUUUAUUUUCUUUCUCUCCCUUAUCAGCGGGAAAGGAGUAUAUCUAUCUGCCUAGCUUUGGUAGAUUUCCCCCAACGCAAUCCACAGAAAUUCCACGAAUCCCUUGGUGGAUAAGUCCGACGACUCAGCAGCAGUGCGGAAUUGAGUUUCUUGUCUGGUGGAUCUGAUCUAUAGUUAGGGGGCAAUACAUACCAAAAGGUUCGAAGAAGGAAGGCGCAUAAGAGUAUAUAACCAACCUACUUCUGGUGGAUCUGAUCUAUAGUAUGGGGCAAUACAUACCAAAAUGUUUGAAGAAGGAAGGCACAUAAGAGUAUAUAACCAACCUACCCUUGUAUAUAACCUAUUCAUAUUAGUGAAGCGGUUGGAUGCAUAAGGGAAGUGCACCUUUGUGAGACCUUAGUUGGGAUGCAUAGGUGAGUCAACCUACGAGCACGGAAGAGCAUGGUACUGAUACCCCUCUCUAAGUAAAGGUAAGAUUCUUACCCCUGUAGAUGACUCCAUCAAAAAUACAAUAGGGACAACCAUUUUUGGCUGCGCGUUUCGUAUCUUGAAGAAAGAGUAGGCUUAAGUAAUUUUAUAGGGGUCAGGUCAAUAAUACCUAUGCUAUUGCCCUACUAAGGGAAUCUCACCAGUUCUUGGAAUAAGAGCUCUGGGACUUCAUGGCUUUGAGGGAGGUUUAGCCUAGCCCUAAGCCUUUUCGGAAUAGAAUGCUUCUUUGACAGAGCUUCAAGCAAGAAGGAGGAAGGCCCUCUUUUCGCCAAUGGAUCACUUAGUCGGAAUAAGCGGGCUUAGGUUGAUGCACGAAAUAUAAUUCUUCUUCGACAGAGCUUUAUGCAAGAAAGAGGAAGGCCCUCUUUUCGCCAAAGGAUCACUUAGUCGGAAUAAGCGGGCAUAGGUUGAUGCGGAAUAAGCCAUUUUUCCCAUGUUUCCAUGGAAAGGUGUCGAAGGAAUAGGCACAUUUAGAGCUGUGGGACUUGAAGGAAUAGAAUGCCCCGUUAGAAUGGGCAGGGACAGUCGAUCAUUGGCUUAAUUUCCUGGGGGACUCUAGUAUCAAAAAUUCCCGGUAUUUCGUCGUGAAAGUGUCACAUUUAGAUUGUUCUUAUUAAAGGAAAGAGCCGAAUAGACAAAGGGUUUACAUGAGUUUAGAAUGGGCAGGGACAGUCGAUCGUCGGCUUAAUUUCUUGGAGGACUCUAGUAUCAAAAAUUCUUCGUAUUUCAUCAUGAAAGUGUCACAUUUAGAUUGUUCUUAUUAAAGGAAAGAGCCGAAUAGACAAAGGGUUUACAUGACCGCUCGCUUUGGACAAGAUGCCAUAGUAUAAGAAGAAGGCCUUUGUUUGCAAAGAUGACUAAGAGCCGAAUAGACAAAGGGUUUACAUGACCGCUCGCUUUGGACAAGAUGCCAUUGUAUAAGAAGAAGGCCUUCGUUUGUAAAGAUGACUUUCCCGCUUUCCUUUGUGAGGGAGGUUUGUGCACAUGAAUUAAUAGUCAAAGUAUAAGGAAGAUGGCAUAGAGCAUAGAAUGAUAUUGAUGCUUCGAAUGCCCAGUUUUUAGGGGUUGUGAUAGAAGGAGAUGUGGC